CAGGACACUCCAUGACCUAAGGCCUCCCAUAGUUUGAAACAAACGGGAAGAAACACCGAGAGGAUUUAGAUCAUAAGAUGAAACAAUAAGUGACAAACCUCUCAACAUCUGAAGAGGGAAAUUUGACAUAGAAAGUGGGAAGCGUAGUCCACGCUACCAUUCACACAACUAGGACACUUGCAUUGUGAAGAACAGUCGCUGACAUACCUGCAAGUCAUGUGCAGUUGCGAUGUGAGAACGCUGCAGCAUCCAGGACGUAUUGGUGAAGGGAACACUAUUUAUUUCAAGUAAUUAACUUGUAUGUGUGAGUCUGGGGAUGGGGGAGAUCCUGAAAAUGUUUAUUCAUUAAAGUAAUUUUGAUGGACAGUA